GAUGAAGAACGUAGCGAAAUGCGAUAAGUAAUGUGAAUUGCAGAAUUCAGUGAAUCAUCGAAUCUUUGAACGCACAUUGCGCCCGUCAGUAUUCUGGCGGGCAUGCCUGUUCGAGCGUCAUUACGCCCCUCAAGUCCCCUGUGGACUUGGUGUUGGGGAUCGGCGAGGCUGGUUUUCCAGCACAGCCGUCCCUUAAAUUAAUUGGCGGUCUCGCCGUGGCCCUCCUCUGCGCAGUAGUAAAACACUCGCAACAGGAGCCCGGCGCGGUCCACUGCCGUAAAACCCCCCAACUUUUUAUAGUUGACCUCGAAUCAGUUAGGACUACCCGCUGAACUUAAGCAUAUCAAUAAGCGGAGGA
rnacentral:misc_RNA from 1 species